GGAACUCGGAGCAAUGUUACCAAGUUUUCUUACAUGGGGCAUCACAUUGGAUUUCAUCUGUAUGGCACAAAAGGUUACAGUUUCCCACCCAAGUAUGCAAUCUCAUUAGUACUUUGCCUACGAUGCCUUUCAUAGGGGGGUGGGGGGCGUCCUCACAGUUUCUCCGGUGCUAGGAUCCCUGCCUGCAUUUCUGGGGAAUUAAUUUACAGUAUCAACUGGAAUGCUAAAGCGGGCGGUGAACUUUUACAGAAGUUUUCAGACCUGGCGCCACUUGACCAGCAUUACUUGGGCCUUUUCGUUUUUACUUUUUAGCAAAAUAUUAAAAUGAAAAUGUUGUUUUCUAGUCUCAUCUUUAGGGAUUUGGAUUUAGUGUGGAUCAAACAAUUCUUGAAAC
ensembl:processed_transcript